GAAGAUGAAGGUGGCUGUGCUCAGCGUGGCCCUGCUCUUCUCCAUCCUGCUGUACCUCCCGGCACAGAAUGAGGCACUGCUGGAAGGAACCCAGGAUGAUCUGCGGGAGAUUGAUUUAGACAAUGUCGCCAUCCUGGAGACGCCUCUGCCCCCAGUUGUUGAAAGGCUGGAGGCUGUUCUGCGACAGAAGCGCCUGGCUGCCUCUCUGGGUGCCUAGGUGAGCUGUGCCUGCAGGGAGAGGGGUGGGGACACGGCCCCUCUCAUAUCCCAGUGGGCACCAGAGGUCACCUUCUGGGGUUUGAU